ACUGAACGCUGGCGGCAUGCCUUACACAUGCAAGUCGAACGGUAACAGGUCUUCGGAUGCUGACGAGUGGCGAACGGGUGAGUAAUACAUCGGAACGUGCCUAGUAGUGGGGGAUAACUACUCGAAAGAGUGGCUAAUACCGCAUGAGAUCUACGGAUGAAAGCAGGGGAUCGCAAGACCUUGUGCUACUAGAGCGGCCGAUGGCAGAUUAGGUAGUUGGUGGGAUAAAAGCUUACCAAGCCGACGAUCUGUAGCUGGUCUGAGAGGACGAUCAGCCACACUGGGACUGAGACACGGCCCAGACUCCUACGGGAGGCAGCAGUGGGGAAUUUUGGACAAUGGGCGCAAGCCUGAUCCAGCAAUGCCGCGUGCAGGAUGAAGGCCUUCGGGUUGUAAACUGCUUUUGUACGGAACGAAAAGCCCUGGGUUAAUACCCUGGGGUCAUGACGGUACCGUAAGAAUAAGCACCGGCUAACUACGUGCCAGCCGCCGCGGUAA
rnacentral:rRNA from 1 species